rnacentral:rRNA from 1 species
GCCUAUUUUUGGUGUAUUCAAUGCAUGUUGAUGCUGCCGUCGUGGGUUUCCGGUGGCCGAAAUUGGGCCUACUGGGGGCUGAGGGCUCCUUCUUUUUUUAGAGGUGAGGACGAUGGAAGACCGACGCGAUACGACCCGUCUUGAAACACGGACCAAGGAGUCUAGCGUAGCUGCGAGUCAAAGGGUGUGAAAACCUGAGGGCGCAGUGAAAGCAAAUUGUUAAAACUAGCAGUUUGAGGCGGCAUGCGAUCGUUGAUCGCAAGUCCGACCUAGAGCAGCUAUGCUAGGACCCGAAAGAUGGUGAACUAUGCCGGAGUAGGGCGAAGCCAGAGGAAACUCUGGUGGAGGCUCGUAGCGGUGCUGACGUGCAAAUCGCUCGUCGAACUCGGGUAUAGGGGCGAAAGACUAAUCGAACCAUCUAGUAGCUGGUUUCCUCCGAAGUUUCUCUCAGGAUAGCAGGCCGAGUGUUAGGUGUUGUUGUGUGCGGUAAAGCCAAUGAUUAGCGUAGUUGGGGGCAUUGAGCCUUCGGACGAUUCUCAAACUUUAAAUGCGCACGGAUGUUGCUGCUUUAUUGAGCGACAUCAGUAAAAACCUCGGCUUUGUGGGCCAUUUUUGGUAAGCAGAACUGGCGAUACGGGAUGAACCGCAAGCGUGGUUAAGGCGCCAAAUUAUCCGCUUAUAGAACCCAAAAAAGGUGUUGAUUCAUCGAGACAGCAGGACGGUGGCCAUGGAAGUCGGAAUCCGCUAAGGAGUGUGUAACAACUCACCUGCCGAAUGAAUUAGCCCUGAAAAUGGAUGGCGCUGAAGCGGGUAGCCGACACCACGCCGUUUGAACGACAUAUUGUUUCAAAUGAGUAGGAGGACGUGGCGGUCGUAUCGAAGCGUGCGUGCAAACGUGCGUGGAACGGCCGCUAGUGCAGAUCUUGGUGCUAGUAGCAAAUAUUCAAGCGAGAACCUUGAAGGGUGAAGCGGGGAAGGGUUCCACGCGAACAUUGAUUGGGCGUGGGUGAGUCGUUCCUAAGCCGAGUGGCAAUAGCUAAUUACCGGCGAAAGGGAAGCAGGUUGACAUUCCUGCACACGGAUGUGGAUGCGGUGACGCAUUAUUGGGGCGAAGACGCUGGCGAUGGCACUGGGCAGAGUUUUCUUUUCUGUUUAACCGACCGAGUGCGCUGUGUGGAAUCCGCUUGUCGGGAGAUACACGCGCGUCUGGGCAGAGCGCCGGGAUUUUUCCGGCGUCCAGUGCGCCAUUGACGGCCCUUGAAAAUUCGCUUGCUGGGUAGGGAGGAUUCCUCUUACGGGGUUCAC